AACUUUCAACAAUGGAUCACUUGGUUCUCGCAUCGAUGAAGAACGCAGCGAAAUGCGAUAAGUAUUGUGAAUUGCAGAAUUCCGUGAAUCAUCGAAUCUUUGAACGCACAUUGCGCCUGCUGGAUUCUUCCAGCAAGCAUGCCUGUUUGAGCGUCAGUAUUAUCCUCGAGUAAUUUAUUAUAUUUUGCUCGGUAUUGACCCUUGAAUUAAUUUCUGUUGCUCCUUUGUAUUGCAACUGGGUUUAAAGUUAAUUUGCUCAAGCCAAAGCCUGUCAAACCUCCAGUGUAAUAGUUUUUUCUACUCGCUGGGCACUUUAGAGUGCUGCAGGUUUUGCGCUGAAGCAUUAAACUACAUUUUGUAUUGAACAACGGACCUCAAAUCAGGCAGGGUUACCCGCUGAACUUAAGCAUAUCAAUAAGCGGAGGCU
rnacentral:misc_RNA from 1 species